UACGGAGGGUGCAAGCGUUAUCCGGAUUCACUGGGUUUAAAGGGUGCGUAGGUGGGUUGGUAAGUCAGUGGUGAAAUCUCCGGGCUUAACCUGGAAACGGCCAUUGAUACUAUCAAUCUUGAAUACCUUGGAGGUGAGCGGAAUAUGUCAUGUAGCGGUGAAAUGCUUAGAUAUGACAUAGAACACCAAUUGCGAAGGCAGCUCACUACACGGUCAUUGACACUGAGGCACGAAAGCGUGGGGAUCAAACAGG
rnacentral:rRNA from 1 species